GUUGUCAUGUGAGUUAGAAUAUCCAUGUGCUACUUAUUGUGGUGCGACAUCAAGCAUGUUGAUUGAUUCUGAAGCAUGAGUAAACUGUAGUAAGCUGUGUGUACAGAUUCCUGAUUAUUCUGUAUGAUCCUCUAUUUUUUUCCUUUAUGAUCCUCUUUAUUGUGGUGCGACACCAAGCUUGGGUUAUUUACUUGCUUCCACUGUGAUUUCUAGGGAGGGCACUUUAUUGAUUUCUCAAACCUUGGAUCUAGACAUGUAAAUAGUUAAAUGAUUAUUUUGCUUUUCGAUUAAAUAUGAUACUAACUAAACCUGUCUAUCUUAUACAAGCUGCAAUCUGUUCUGAAAAUUCUGUUUAUAAGGUACCAUCAGCUAUGACCCUAAUGGACCCCGAAUAAAAAGGAGAAAACAUUUGACACUUAUCAUGGCCAACCAUGAAACCGUGUUUCAGAAACUGCAUCAUAGCACAUAUUUCAACAAUCGUUUCCUGGUUUGUAAUAUGUACUAGCCUUCUGAAAAAGACUGAGGCUGCACUUGUUCCUGUCAGGUUGUCAUGUUACAAAAAGGCCUAUCUACAAAUAGGUGGACAAGAUAAAACAUUAAAAAUAGACUAGAGCACUUUCCAUCUCCAUUGAUAAGAAUUAGUGGCAUGAUUGAAGGGCGAGACUACCAGCUGGUGAAGGAGAGGAUAUGUAUUCGGCGUGUCCUGAAGAGGUAGUCCACGAACCGGCAAUGGAGGAAAUAAGGUAGAGAUGGCAAUAGCAGCAAGUACGUCAAGCGCUAGGGAUGUGGAUAUGGUGUGGCAUAAAGAGGCUGAUGUUCUUGCUCAGUAUAAGCCAACAAUGGAGAAACUGAUCAAACUAUCUUUCAUGAUCAGUUACACACCAAGCCUAUAUUUUUGCUGCUUCUACAUGUUGCUGUGAUGGUCAUUCGGCCCAUUUUCUUGAACCUGCACUACAACGAGAGAUCUGGGCUGCUUCUUUCUGGCUUCCAAACUUGAAAUGUUUGUUGGAAGUUAGUUUAGUUUUUUGUUGUGGAUUCACAGCUUCUCACAUGUACCGUCCUCUUAGACCUUUAGAUUUCCAAAGAAACUAAAAGAAGAUAUGGUGGUAUGGUCUCAAUAGUACAACUUAAAGCCUUCCAUGCUUUA